rnacentral:rRNA from 1 species
GACGAACGCUGGCGGCGUGCUUAACACAUGCAAGUCGAACGGAAAGGCCCUGCUUUUGUGGGGUGCUCGAGUGGCGAACGGGUGAGUAACACGUGAGUAACCUGCCCUUGACUUUGGGAUAACUUCAGGAAACUGGGGCUAAUACCGGAUAGGAUCUCCUGCUGCAUGGUGGGGGUUGGAAAGUUUCGGCGGUAGUGGAUGGACUCGCGGCUUAUCAGCUUGUUUGUGGGGUAGUGGCUUACCAAGGCUUCGACGGAUAGCCGGCCUGAGAGGGUGACCGGCGACAUUGGGACUGAGAUACGGCCCAGAAUCCUACGGGAGGCAGCAGUGGGGAAUAUUGCAGAAUGGGCGGAAGCCAGAUGCAGAAACGCCGCGUGCGGGAUGACGGCCUUCGGGUUGUAAACCGCUUUCGCCUGUGACGAAGCGUGAGUGACGGUAAUGGGUAAAGAAGCACCGGCUAACUACGUG